GCAUAUCACAUUGAAGCACCAGUUCUCAUCUGAUCAUUGAAGUUAAGCAACAUCAAGCCUGGUCAGUAGCUAGAUGGGUGACCACAUGGGAAUACAAGGUGCUGUGA